AUUGGGCGUAAGAGCUUGUAGGCGGUUUGUCGCGUCUGCUGUGAAAAUCCGGGGCUCAACCCCGGACUUGCAGUGGGUACGGGCAGACUAGAGUGUGGUAGGGGAGACUGGAAUUCCUGGUGUAGCGGUGAAAUGCGCAGAUAUCAGGAGGAACACCGAUGGCGAAGGCAGGUCUCUGGGCCACUACUGACGCUGAGAAGCGAAAGCAUGGGGAGCGAACAGGAUUAGAUACCCUGGUAGUCCAUGCCGUAAACGUUGGGAACUAGGUGUGGGUCUCAUUCCACGAGAUCCGUGCCGCAGCUAACGCAUUAAGUUCCCCGCCUGGGGAGUACGGCCGCAAGGCUAAAACUCAAAGGAAUUGACGGGGGCCCGCACAAGCGGCGGAGCAUGCGGAUUAAUUCGAUGCAACGCGAAGAACCUUACCAAGGCUUGACAUAUACCGGAAACUUCCAGAGAUGGUUGCCCCUUUUAGGUCGGUAUACAGGUGGUGCAUGGUUGUCGUCAGCUCGUGUCGUGAGAUGUUGGGUUAAGUCCCGCAACGAGCGCAACCCUCGUUCUAUGUUGCCAGCACGUAAUGGUGGGGACUCAUGGAAGACUGCCGGGGUCAACUCGGAGGAAGGUGGGGAUGACGUCAAAUCAUCAUGCCCCUUAUGUCUUGGGCUUCACGCAUGCUACAAUGGCCGGUACAAAGGGCUGCGAUACCGCAAGGUGGAGCGAAUCCCAAAAAACCGGUCUCAGUUCGGAUUGGGGUCUGCAACUCGACCCUCAUGAAGUCGGAGUCGCUAGUAAUCGCAGAUCAGCAACGCUGCGGUGAAUACGUUCCCGGGCCUUGUACACACCGCCCGUCAAGUCACGAAAGUCGGUAACACCCGAAG
rnacentral:rRNA from 1 species